rnacentral:pre_miRNA from 1 species
CAUGCACCAGUGGGGUCCCUCGGCCUGGCCUGCGCCCUCUCACAAUCCAGGACCCCUCAGGGGAUGUCGGACUGCUGGUUUCAGCCCGAUCCCCGCAGGCCAGGCUGAGGGACCCCACUGGUGCAUG